UACGAAGGGGGGCUAGCGUUGCUCGGAAUCACUGGGCGUAAAGCGCACGUAGGCGGCUUUCUAAGUCAGGGGGUGAAAUCCUGGAGCUCAACUCCAGAACUGCCUUUUGAUACUGGAGAGCUUGAGUCCGGAAGAGGUGAGUGGAACUCCGAGUGUAGAGGUGAAAUUCGUAGAUAUUCGGAAGAACACCAGUGGCGAAGGCGGCUCACUGGUCCGGUACUGACGCUGAUGCGCGAAAGCCAGGGGGAGCAAACGGG
rnacentral:rRNA from 1 species